UACGUAGGGGGGCAAGCGUUGUCCGGAAUCAUUGGGCGUAAAGAGCGUGUAGGCGGGUUCGGUAAGUCGGGCUGUGAAAGUCCCAGGGCUCAACCCUGGGGAUGCCCGGGUCGAUACUGCCCGGGACUAGAGUUCGGGAAGAGGCGAGUGGGAAUUCCCCGGUGUAGCGGGUGAAAUGCGCAGAUAUCGGGGAGGGAACACCCUA
rnacentral:rRNA from 1 species